UAUACAUAUCUUUAUUGCAGAGUUAAAACAAACAUUUGAAGAAAUUCCAGCUGAAAGUUAGAAACACGAUGUAUAUACUUUUAUUGGUAGUGGUUGCCAUGAAGAGAUUCCACCGUACAGUGCGUUCCGCCAUUCGUAGGCGUCACAUUUGGUUGCAAGUCAUCGAGUGGGAGCGUUUUCUCCACUCUCCCGUGCUUUUUCUUCGUUUCUUGGUCUAUUAGGCGUCUCGGCGGCGAAUGUCAUCUGAUUUCCUUAAACCCUUAAUUAACAUAAACGUUUGAAAUAUAAUCGAGGUAUUAAUAAUAUAGGUACAGCGUUCAAAUUGGGUAAGCACACCAUUGUAAUGCAACUAUGUUAUGCAAUUAUUAAGUUUUCUUUAUUUGAAAAAAAAACGAUCUUAAACUGCAUUUCUAGAAGCUAUAAUUUUGUCAACUUAAACUUGAUUGUAAAGUGGCUUACCCUAAAAGUUUUGUGGUCUCAAUUCUAUAUAUUUUUCUUUAACUUUUAGUAAUGCUAUUAACUUUUUUUUUAGCUAAUUCGUUGGCUUGGAGAAAUUGAUUUAUUUAAAUUUUUGUUCUGUUUUUUUCUUUUACUUACUUUGAUGUAAGUCUUUUUCUAUUUUUCCAACGUCUGGCAGUAAGAUGACCCAACCGGUUUGCCAUGUGAUACGUUUGUUUCCUUAAUAAAUAAAAAAAAUAAAACAAUUAAGUUAAAUUAAAACCAUGCUCGCCCAAAUAAGGAGCUGACUGCUUGUUUAACGAUGAUGAUCUUAAGCCCAAUAGAGCGGCAAAAACGGGGUCGAAUUGCAUUGUUGAUUACGACUGAUUUAUUGGAUGGACCGAAAGCGUUUACACAUUUGUUAACUUUGAUGGGCAGCCAAACAAAUCGCUCUAUGCAAAUGAUGAGCGUCGGGCGGAAACGGAAAACGAAUUGCGGGCCGAAAUGAGAAAUGCCACAGAUGGAAUGGGAAUGGAUCUGGAUCUGGACCUGGAUGGCACCGAAUCACAUCAGACAUGGCCAGCAAGCAAGUCAGCCAAGUUUGUGGCUCGUGGCUGCAUUUAAAGGUAUUUUUGUUUGCAUAAAUAAACGGACGACGGAGAACCGGCAAACGUCAAAACUUUUAAAAUUUCAAUUUCCGGUGCAACGGCGGCCCAAACGAAGAUGGUGAUGAUGACCAAAAAAAAGAAAGGAAAGAAAACGCGAACGCGAAUGCGAACGAGCCCGAUUUCAUUCAUAAAAGGGAUCACAAUCGGACCUCGGAUUCUGGUCCUCCAUGCGGACAAAGGAUCGCGGCCGGGGAAAUUAAUUUUAUUUUGAUAUUUGCCCAACAAAUUCGCUGGCGAAAUUAUCACAACAAGUUAUUUCUCAGUCGCGGCAAACAAAAAGCGUCAAAUUUAUCAAAAGCGACAGGCGUGAGGAAGAAAGACGGAAUCGGAGUCUGGAUCGGAUAGGUUUCUAUAUAUAUAUAUACCCUUUAUGCAUAUGUCAGUUGCGAUAUAGCCCUGCCUGCCUGUAUUUGCAUUCAUUCAAAAUUAAUCAGAAAAGUACGAUUCUCAGGUCCAGUUUCACGCCUUUAUUCUGGAUCUCGAAUUCCUGCUGUGUGCCCUGAAAACCUCAUGAGGAUGUGUUGAUGUACCCAAA